rnacentral:rRNA from 1 species
UACACUCCUGCGGGAGGCAGCAGUAGGGAAUCUUCCACAAUGGGUGCAAACCUGAUGGAGCAAUGCCGCGUGAGUGAAGAAGGUCUUCGGAUCGUAAAGCUCUGUUGUUAGAGAAGAACACGUGCUAGGUAACUACUAGCGCCUUGACGGUAUCUAACCAGAAAGUCACGGCUAACUACGUGCCAGCAGCCGCGGUAAUACGUAGGUGACAAGCGUUGUCCGGAUUUAUUGGGCGUAAAGGGAGCGCAGGCGGUCUGUUUAGUCUAAUGUGAAAGCCCACGGCUUAACCGUGGAACGGCAUUGGAAACUGACAGACUUGAAUGUAGAAGAGGAAAAUGGAAUUCCAAGUGUAGCGGUGGAAUGCGUAGAUAUUUGGAGGAACACCAGUGGCGAAGGCGAUUUUCUGGUCUAACAUUGACGCUGAGGCUCGAAAGCGUGGGGAGCGAACAGGAUUAGAAACCCCUGUAGUCCCAUGA